GACGAACGCUGGCGGCGGGCUUAACACAUGCAAGUCGAACGAAGCUUGAGGGCUUGCUCUCAAGCUUAGUGGCGCACGGGUGAGUAACACGUAGGCAACCUACCCUUAGCUGGGGAAUAACCAGGGGAAACCCUGGCUAAUACCGCAUAAUGUCAAAGCGUCGCAUGGCGCCUUGAUCAAAGCCCCGGCGGCUGAGGAUGGGCCUGCGUCGGAUUAGCUAGUUGGCGGGGUAACAGCCCACCAAGGCGACGAUCCGUAGCGGGUCUGAGAGGAUGAUCCGCCACACUGGCACUGAGAUACGGGCCAGACUCCUACGGGAGGCAGCAGUGAGGAAUAUUGCGCAAUGGAGGCAACUCUGACGCAGCCACGCCGCGUGCAGGAAGACACCCCUCUGGGGCGUAAACUGCUUUUAUACGGGAAGAAUGCCUCACUCGGUGGGGCUUGACGGUACCGUACGAAUAAGGACCGGCUAACUCCGUGCCAGCCGCCGCAGUAAC
rnacentral:rRNA from 1 species